rnacentral:misc_RNA from 1 species
GGAGCGCGGAGCGCGCGCGCGCGCGCGCGUGGCGGCGCCCCGGCGCGGGGCCGGGUCCGGCGGGCCAGUCGGUCGGCUCCCCGCGCCGCUCCGUUUGUUCCUGGGUUCGUUCGUUCGUUCGUUCCUUCCUUCCCCGGCCCCGCGCCGGCGCCGGCGCGGGGUUGGAAAGAGGGGGAGAGGGGCGGGGGGCGCGGCCGGCCCCCUUCCCCGUUUCCGUCCCCGCGGCGCGUGCCGUGGGACGGGCUCCCUCCGUUUUACCCGAGCCCGGGGGUUGACCUGGCGGCCGGGCUAGGGGGCGCUCCGCGUCCCCCUUCGGGGGGUUGACCUGUCGGGCG